CGAAGAGAGUGAGGUUAGGUGCGGACAACGAAGAUGGCAACAACAAGUAAUAAUUCAAACAUGAACUGUAUAGCACCAGGUAGUUGGAAUUGGCUCCAAAAAAAAAUCAUUCGGUAAGCUACCAUCGGCUGCCCGAGGCCCCACAACUUUUGAAGAAGUGGCUCCAUGUCCUUAAGAGGAAACGUGCCAGCUCGAGCUACAGGAUCUUAGACAGCACUUCGUGGAGACGGACUUUGCGAUGAAGGGCGCUUUCGAUUCGGCAACCGGGAGUUUCCAAAUGGAAAGGAGUCAUAGGCCUACAUUGAAGACCUUAGGGUUACGGUGUAGGGGUUACCGACCGACAAUCAUCAACAUCGCUGACUUCGGAGUCAAGCAAAAGCGACUGAACGGAGGAGGCGACGCGAGUCAAUGCAAUGAAGCCUGAAAUAACAUUAACCGGUCAUGACUGUUGUUGACUAGGCUAGCGUUAGACACUGCAGAACUUUGUUGCAACUCUAGUUGAAGGUAACUGGCUUAUUGCAUCUGAAGUGUAUUGUGUAACUCCCUCCUGCAAAUAAUGUUAGCAAGCAACUCAACUGCAACUAAAAUUGCAACACAGUUUCCCCGUGUACCUGUUAUUAGGUAACAGUUACUUUAGGCAGCUAGGUUCCUCCUCAGAUGUCAAGUACUGUUGUUUUUGUAAUGUUUUGUUUGCUCCACCUCAUUUAGCUAGACUGAAAUUGACAUGGCUAAUGUUUGCUGAAAAAUAAAUGUCCCUGUAUUUGCUGUGUGUGUGUGUUGACGAAGCAUACAAGACAGGUAGCUUGUUAAUGCCAACUGAUAUAGUCGGGUUCAGUUGUCUUCAGGAUGAUAUUUAUAUCCCCGAAAAGGUUUUCAUCCUGGAGGAGACUGUGCAGGAGGAUAGAAUGGUUAGUACAGCAUGCCAAACUGACCCCUGGGUGCCAGAGAGUUCAUGUGCUGCGGUGGAAAAGAGGUCCACCGGGACCAUCACUAAAGAGCUCAGGCCCAGCUAGAUUGCGCUCACGACCAUCAGUAUACAACCGAGUCCUGCCCCUAUAGUCCGCUGAUGGAGAGUGAGAUCACUAAAGACCAUAACUCGCUGUUUAAAACUGAGAGCUCAGAAUCACAAUCAUCACAGUGCGAGCCAAGAUAUAUCAAUCACUUUGGGGAGUGGGCUGGUGUUCCAAAUAUGGAGAAGGAGCAGGCCAUUCAACAGCAAAUUCAAAGAUACACCCAUCCAUAAAGGGAAUCGGAG
rnacentral:lncRNA from 1 species